UGGAAGCUGGUAACACCUGAAGCCGGUGGACCAACUCUGCAGUAAUGUAGAGAGGUAGCUGUCGAGGGUGGGAUUAGUGACUGGGACG
rnacentral:rRNA from 1 species